rnacentral:rRNA from 1 species
AUUGAACGCUGGCGGCGUGCCUUACACAUGCAAGUCGAACGGCAGCACGGGGCAACCUGGUGGCGAGUGGCGAACGGGUGAGUAAUGCAUCGGAACGUACCUUUCAGUGGGGGAUAACGUAGCGAAAGUUACGCUAAUACCGCAUAUUCUGUGAGCAGGAAAGCAGGGGAUCGCAAGACCUUGUGCUGAUUGAGCGGCCGAUGUCAGAUUAGCUAGUUGGUGAGGUAAAGGCUCACCAAGGCGACGAUCUGUAGCGGGUCUGAGAGGAUGAUCCGCCACACUGGAACUGAGACACGGUCCAGACUCCUACGGGAGGCAGCAGUGGGGAAUUUUGGACAAUGGGGGCAACCCUGAUCCAGCCAUGCCGCGUGAGUGAAGAAGGCCUUCGGGUUGUAAAGCUCUUUCGGCCGGGAAGAAAUCGCACGGGCUAAUACCCUGUGUGGAUGACGGUACCGGAAUAAGAAGCACCGGCUAACUACGUGCCAGCAGCCGCAGUAAGAC